rnacentral:snRNA from 1 species
AUGCCUUAAACUGAUGAGUAAGGAAAAUAACGACGCGGGGUGACGCCCGUGUCCUCGUUCACAUACGAGAGGAAUUUUUGAACGGGUACAGGUCCGCGCGCUGAGGUGAUUCACCUACUUUGUGAGAUGCCUCGCGAGACUAGGAUCUGCCCC